UAUUUACCCCAUUUUAGGGACACGUUCAUUCACUGCAGCAUUUAAUACUCCCUUACAUUAAAGAAAAGGGGAAAAAGGUGCGUGAAAACCGAAGCUCAAAACAACAUCUCUUAACUCCAUGUUUAUCUUCAUCAAGCUCAAAAUCCUUCUUCAACACAUCCAAAAUUCAAGGAAAGUGAUGAAUUCUUAUCGUAUUUCAAAAGUUUAUCAUCCCGAACCCAAAAAUUCGUGGUUGUUUUUGGCUAUAAAAACCCGAAAAAAAUCAUCUCAAAAACACACACAACCUAGCCGAAAUAUACCAAAUACAAAGUAAUUUAAGUGAGUUCGUGAAUUGGCCUAUUUGUGAAGAGAAGAUAGUCGUUGGAGGGAAGCUUAGUCUCGAAUCCAAGGAAGAACAAGAAUGACGGUGAAUUUGGGGUCAAAGCCGGGUUUAUUCGACAGUUCUUGGGAGUGUAUGAACGCGUACAAUCCAGAAGCAAUACUUCAGCGCAUUAAGGCAUACGUAGGCUUCCUAAACGAGGCUGAACCAGAGAAGCUGCUUCACAUUUUCAGUGCUGAACCGGAACUUGAAAUAGAAGAUCCAUUACCGAUUAAAUACAAGAGCAUGGCAGAACGAACAUUGAAGGAACUGGGAGUCCCGAGAACAUGAGAAGAUCCUCUUUGCAUUGUCUUUCUAGAGCUAGAGAAUCCUCUAAAGCUGAAUUUAGGUUUCCUUAAUCUUCUCCCUAAAUUCUAUGGGAAUGCAGGUGAGAAUCCUUAUAGACACUUAAAAGAAUUUAAGGUUGUAUGCUCUUCCAUGAAUCCUGAAGGCGUAGAAGAAGAACAUAUUAGAUUGCAUGCUUUUCCUUUUUCUUUGCAAGAUCCUACUAAAGAAUGGCUAUAGAGCAACUUUCACCUAAUUCUAUUAAUUCUUGGGCAGAAAUGGAAAAAGUUUUUCUUGAAA